CCCUCGGGCGCCAGCCGGGCCCCUCGCCCGCGGCCCGCCCGGGCUGUGACACAUCAGCACCGCCCUCGCGGCUGGGGCCCCGUAUUGUCCUCCGCCGCCUCCCACCGCACGCCCAGCCUCGCGUCUACUCAGCCCGGUGCCUGUCGCGCGUGGAAUCGCGUAAGAAAAGCCGAGUUUGUGGCUGGGGAGAGAAGGCCACCGUGCUGAGCUGGAUUUAGCGAAGACUGGUUUUGGGGACCGGAGAUCCCAGGACUCCCUUUGUUGGAGUUUUGCCCACGCGUUGUAAUUAAGCCUCGCACAAUAUGGUGAGAGUGGGCGUUGAUUCUGGAGACACCAGCUUUGUGCUCGUGUAAUGUAACACGAGUGCCGUUGCUUUCUCAUUCUUACACGGCAGUUUCAUGUCAUUGAGUAGAAUUGUGCGGAAUGCUUUUAUGGAGUGAGGCUUCUGCGUUAAACUUGUGCUGAUUCCAGGUUGAUGAUAAUUAGAAGCAUGCUUUCCACUGAACUUCCCGACAACAUUUGUUAUGCAGAAUGUCUCUGAGUGAGAACUCGGUUUUUGCCUAUGAAUCUUCUGUGCAUAGCACCAAUGUUUUACUCAGCCUUAAUGACCAGCGGAAGAAAGAUGUGCUGUGCGAUGUCACCAUCUUUGUGGAGGGACAGCGGUUCCGCGCUCACCGGUCCGUGCUGGCGGCAUGCAGCAGUUACUUCCACUCAAGAAUCGUAGGCCAGGCUGAUGGAGAGCUGAACAUUACUCUUCCAGAAGAGGUGACAGUUAAAGGAUUUGAACCUUUAAUUCAGUUUGCCUACACUGCUAAACUGAUUUUAAGUAAAGAGAAUGUGGAUGAAGUGUGCAAAUGUGUGGAGUUUUUAAGUGUACACAAUAUUGAGGAAUCCUGCUUUCAGUUUCUGAAAUUUAAGUUUUUGGACUCCACUGCAGACCAGCAAGAAUGCCCAAGAAAAAAAUGCUUUUCAUCACACUGUCAGAAAACAGACCUUAAACUUUCACUUUUGGACCAGAGGGAUCUAGAAACUGAUGAAGUGGAGGAAUUUCUGGAAAAUAAAAAUGUUCAGACUCCUCAGUGUAAACUCCGCAGGUAUCAAGGAAAUGCAAAAGCCUCACCUCCUCUACAAGACAGUGCCAGUCAGACAUAUGAGUCCAUGUGCUUAGAGAAGGAUGCUGCUCUGGUCUUGCCUUCUUUAUGCCCCAAAUACAGAAAAUUCCAAAAAGCAUUUGGAACUGACAGAGUCCGUACUGGGGAAUCUAGUGUCAAAGACAUUCAUGCUUCUGUUCAGCCAAAUGAAAGGUCUGAAAAUGAAUGCCUGGGAGGAGUCCCGGAGUGUAGAGAUUUGCAGGUGAUGUUAAAAUGUGACGAAAGUAAAUUAGCAAUGGAACCUGAAGAAACGAAGAAAGAUCCUGCUUCUCAGUGCCCAACUGAAAAAUCAGAAGUGACUCCUUUCCCCCACAAUUCUUCGAUAGACCCUCAUGGACUUUAUUCUUUGUCUCUUUUACACACAUAUGACCAAUAUGGUGACUUGAAUUUUGCUGGUAUGCAAAACACAACAGUGUUAACAGAAAAGCCUUUGUCAGGUACAGACGUCCAGGAAAAAACAUUUGGUGAAAGUCAGGAUUUACCUUUGAAAUCUGACUUGGGCACCAGGGAAGAUAUUAGUGUUGCAUCUAGUGAUAGGAGUAGUGUGGAGCGAGAAGUGGCAGAACACCUAGCAAAAGGCUUCUGGAGUGACAUUUGCAGCACGGACACUCCUUGCCAAAUGCAGUUAUCACCUGCUGUGGCCAAAGAUGGCUCAGAACAGAUCUCACAGAAACGGUCUGAGUGUCCGUGGUUAGGUAUCAGGAUUAGUGAGAGCCCAGAACCAGGUCAAAGGACUUUCACAACAUUAAGUUCUGUCAACUGCCCUUUUAUAAGUACUCUGAGUACUGAAGGCUGUUCAAGCAAUUUGGAAAUUGGAAACGAUGAUUAUGUUUCAGAACCCCAGCAAGAACCUUGCCCAUAUGCUUGUGUCAUUAGCUUGGGAGACGACUCUGAGACGGACACCGAAGGAGACAGUGAAUCCUGUUCAGCCAGAGAACAAGAAUGUGAGGUAAAACUGCCAUUCAAUGCACAACGGAUAAUUUCACUGUCUCGAAAUGAUUUUCAGUCCUUGUUGAAAAUGCACAAGCUUACUCCAGAACAGCUGGAUUGUAUCCAUGAUAUUCGAAGAAGAAGUAAAAACAGAAUUGCUGCACAGCGCUGUCGCAAGAGAAAACUUGACUGUAUACAGAAUCUUGAAUCAGAAAUUGAGAAGCUGGGUUCUGUGGAAAAUCUGAUGUGCCAAGAAGUGUUCCAUACCAUUCUGAGAACUUUGGAUACCUGCUCAGACAGCUCUGUUUCAGCUAAACAGUAACAUCUGGGAGGGAAGCUUAAUGUGGAAUCAAGGAUGAAGUUUAACACAGGAAUGAGGAGUAGAGCACAUAGCUGCUAAGAUAAGGCUGGAGUCUCAGCUCAUUGCAACCUUUGCCUGCCAGGUUCAAGUGAUUCUCCUGCCUCAGCUUCCCAAGUAACUGGGACUACAGCUAUAGAUGGCAGCACACCACUACCUACGAUCCGAUCACCAGCCUGGGUUUGUAAGUCAGAGCUGUUGGUCAGGAGACAGCAGCUAAUGAGUAAUCAGUCCAAACUGAAUGGCAAAUUAAUGUCUUCAUUAAGUGAACAAACCAGCUUCCUCCAUAAACAAGGUCAGAGUAUUUAUAACCCAGUGUAUUUCAUAAAAGCAAAAACGCAUCUCCAUUUACAUAACUUUACUAUGGAGCUCAUGAUUUAUCUGCACAAAGCAUAUGCAAAAUCUCACUUGUAUACCGUCUUUAAUAAGGGCCCAUGCCAUUCUGAUGUAAUUAUUAAUAAAGUCACACUUGAUAAGCAGCCUUGUUUUUCUCACACAAGGUAAAUGAAAAGGUGAUUGCUUUAAACAAAAGCCACUCUUAUAAGAUGAUAUUGGGUGGCCUGUUCCAAAUUGAGUUCUUAGUAAUAAAAAUGAAGUGUGAUCCUUAUUGAUCAAAUAUAUCUGCCACUUAGGUUCUAUGAGAACUUAUUUAAAAUUUAGACUUGGUUACACAGGUAUAAAGUUUGAUAUUUACCAUAUGCUACAUGUCACUUCAAUUCAGUGAAUUGAAUGCUUAAUUUUGCCAUCCUUGUCAGAGAACAAUAUAGAAAUUUCAGAAACUUUUCACAAAAUGACCAGGUGUCAAAGACUCUGAAUUUCUGUUUCUAGAUCAGUGUCAUCCAGUAGAAAUAUAAAAUGAGCCAAAUGCAAGUUGCAUGUGAAGUUUUAAAUUUUCUAGAAACCACAUGUUAAAAAGUAAAAAAAGAGGUGAAAUUAAUUUGAAUACUGUACUAUAUUUUAUUUAACCAGAUAUAUCCAAAAUAUUAUUUUUAGCAGGUAAUCUAUAUAAAAAUUAUUGCAAUAUUGCACAUUCAUUUUUUUAAAUCUGGUGUGUAUUUUACACUCACAGCUCAUUUCGAUUUAGAUUAGCCAGAUUUUAAGUGUUCAGUAGCCACAUGUGGCUAGUUGGCCACAUCAUGUUCCACUCGGCUCUAAAGACUUAGUGCCUGUUAUGAGGGGAAUUGUGUGCCCCCCAAAUUCAUGUGUUAGAAUCCUAACUCCCACUACUUCAGAGUGUGACCUUAUUUGGAGAUAGGGUUGUUACCAAGUAAAAACGAGGUCAUUUUAGGGUGGACCUUUAGAGUGGAUCCUAAUCCGGUAUGACUGAUGUCCUUCUAAAAUGCGGAGACUGGAGACAGGCUCACACACAGGGAGAACUCCAUGUGGAGAGGAAGGCAGAGACUGGGUGAUGCAUCUCCAAGCCAAGGACCAUCGAAGAUCACCUUCAUCCCCAGAAGCUAGGAGGGAGCCAUGGAACAGAGUCUCCCUCACAGCCUCAGAAGGAACCAACCCUGCUGAUGUCUUGAUUUUGGACAUCCAGCCUCCAGAACUGUGAGAGAAUACAUUUCUGUUGUUUAAGGCACACAGCCUGUGGUGCAUUGUUAUGGCAGCCCUAGUCAACCACUACAGAACCUUUGGUUGGUGGCUGCCAUUGUUCCAAAGCUUUCCUCUCCUUGCCUUGAAUCUCCUCUUCUCUUCCUUCUAUGCUUUCUCUUCUGGCCUCUCUGUCACUCAACUUUCCUGCCCUCUCUCAUCGUUUUCCAUAGGAUCUCCCUCUCAUAGCACAGAGGUAAGCAGGGAGUUUCUGUUGUAGUAAGCGGGAGAUGGGUUCCACCUGAGCAGGGAGAUGCCUGACUUGCUUCACGUCUCCAAUGGGGAUAAUAUUAUCUGCCAGCUGUCCCCUGGAGCUACUGUUGUGUAGGUGAAGGGCCGACUCAGAAAAUGCUUUGAAACCCAUAAAUAAUGACAUGGAUGAGAAUGAGUAUUUUGUGUGUUUUACUUUCACAUGUUAGGACUCAAAGGUGGAAUGAAGUGUUUUCUAAGUUACUUUGGUUUCUUCUCUCUGUAAUUAUCUAGGGUUCCUACUUCAUGGUAGGGAAUGUGUGAAAGGGCAUAGGCCCUGCCACUUUCUUGCCAUCUGUCAGUAGUGGGCUUCUACGGGCUGCCUCCCAAGCAUGUUUUAUAUCCUCUCUACCCAGCGCAGAACGGCCUCCCUAACUCAAAAACCACGUGUUAAGGUGAUAUGGAUCCCACUCCCAUCUCUAGAAGUGGGUCCCAAAUAGGGUCACUGCAUCAGAUAAUUCCAAGGGGUAUCAUCUUGAUAUUGUUUGGCUUUGUGUCCCCACCCAAAUCUCAUCUUGAAUUGUAAUCCCAUAAUCCCCACGUGUCAUGGGAGGGAGCCAGUGGGAGAUAAUUGAAUCAGGCUGGCUGUUUCCCUCACACUGUUCUCGUGAUAGUGAGUGAGUUCUCAGGAGAUCUGAUUGUUUUAUAAGCGUCUGGCAUUUCCCCUGCUGGCACUCAUUCUCUGUCCUGCUGCCCUGAGAAGAGGUGCCUUCCACCAUGAUUGUAAGUUUCCCGAGGCCUCCCUAGCCAUGCAGAACUGUAAGUCAAUUAAAUCUCUUUUCUUUAUAAAUUACCCAAUCUCCAGUAUUUCUUCAUAGCAGCAUGAGAACGGACCACUACACAUCUGCAUUGUCAUAAAUGUGUAUAGUGAACUUGAAGUUGUGCAGUGCACAACCUGCACAGUCAUAUCUGAUAGCCCCAGUCCUGUACAAUUAAAUCAUUCAGGCAAUCCCGUCUCUCUGACCGUAGUCAUAGGUACAGAAUGGGUACUAAAAUCCCGUAAAGCUGUGAGGAGAGAUUGUCCGGGGUUACUGAGAAAAAAAAACAAAAAACAAAAAACUCUUGCCUUCUCCAGGGACCUACUGAUAGACGGCAUUCUGAGUGUGAUAUAAACAUAUAAGGCUGGCAGCUGUGCUCAUGAGAGAAGGGCCAGUACCUUUUGCGAAGUCACUAGGUGGACCUUGAGGAAUAAGAGAGCAGAGAUCUGAGAGAGCCAGGGCUUGUGCUUAUGCCUCUGGAUCAAGCUUUGCCUGAAGCACCUGUGCAGUUUGUUACAUGAGCCCAUGUAUUUGCUUUAUAGAAUUGGUUUGGGUUGGAUUUUCUUUCCCUUGCUACCCAAAGAAUUCUAAAUGCUACACUGGAGAUGGAAGUAAAGAAAGGGGGAGAUAGAGAUGUGUUUCUGGUUGACAGUGCAACAACUAUAAGAAACAAAAACAAAGCUUCUUCAAGCAUCCACAACCAUUGCCACAGCAAUUUGAAUUACAUUUUCUAAUGAAAACCAGGCCAAAUGAUGGUUAGCAUUCUCAGCUAACUCACAGCAAUGUUCUUAAGUCUAUUUGUGAUUGUCCAAUGCUAAAAAUGUAUACCAGUUGGCAUUAAAAACCUAAACUAUUUCUACCACUGUAUGGCUUUUAACUAGAGGUUUGUGCUCUACCCUGAAAACUUAAUCUACUAUGCAUAUCUUUAUUUCUAAACUAAUACGUUCUUUUGAGUUCAGCCUACGUAAAAACAUACUUCUGGUGUACUGCCUAUUUGUAAAUUGAAACUUGUCAUAAGUAUAAUAACAUUGCCCCCAUUGUUCGUAUUAAUUCAUAGCAAGGGGGAACACUACUGUAUAGAUGUUAUAAAUGCUUAGGCAAGGGAGACCAUUCAGCUCUUAACCCAAUUUCCUGCUGCAAAUAUCAAAAGUUGGAUCAACAUAUGCCCCUAGUUACAAAGAUGUAACAUCAUUUCUAAAGUCUUUAGCAGCAGAAUCCUAAAGGGCCCCUAAAUUUCAGUCUUAACUUUGUUCCAGCCACAUCCCAGCUGUUUCUCCCAAGUACUUCAUCACCUGCAGGCUGUUUUCAGUUCAUUAUGGGACCAAGGAGAGGCCACUGGGACAGUAUAUCAAUAGAACAAUCCUUGCCAAAUAAUGAAAUUUGGAAAUAGGCUGGGCACGGUGGCUCAUACCUAUAAUCCUAGCACUUUAGGAGGCUGAGGCAGGAGAAUUGCUUGAGCCUAGGAGUUGAAGGCUGCAGUCAGCUAUGAUUGCACCACUGCACUCCAGCUUGGGUGACAGAGCGAGAUCCUGUCUCUUAAAAAAAAAAGUUUUUGGCUACUUUGUAACUGAAGGAGAUCAAUCCCUAGAAUGUCCUUCCCAGGGAGGCCAGGCUACCUGCCUAGCCUCUUUCUGCCUGCCUCUCUUUGCUGCUUGGGUUUUUCUGUUGUGCCCCUUCCCAAGGCAGGAGCUGGCAUCUCUUUCCCUCCUGCAAACUUCAGUCCCAUGGAUCCUCUUCUUGUUGUUUUCUGCACUGAUUUUGUAUCGAUUCCUCUGGAGCAAACAUUGGAAGCUGCUGUCGGAUAUGCCAGGGCUCUCUGCCCUGUUGUGUUCUGUGUUGCUAGCUGAAGAUUACUCCCGGGUUUGUUUCAAGACCCUUGGAACCAGAAUAGAGGUGACGCUCUCCUGUUUGUACUCUCUCUGGCUGUGAUUUUUAAAUCCUUGUUCUGAGCCUGUUUUUUUUUUUUUUUCUCCUCUGCCUCACUUUUCUAGCUCAUUGCCUUCUAUAUCUUCCGCUGGCUCAGUUUGCCUGAGCCCUCUGCAUUUGGCACUAAAUCGUAGUUUAUUCUAAUCCUUUGCCUGGAAGCUGAUGCUGGUAACCAGAUGGCAAUAAAAAGACACUGAAUGCAACAUUUCUACCUGUGAGUUGAGAGACAAUACUCGUUACUUCCUGGGAAAACAGUUGGUGUUUUUCUCAGUUGGGGUAAAAUGAUAUUUCUAAAAAUCCUAUUGUUUUCUUACUUGGAUAAAUGUUAAAAUAUGUUUAUUAGAAAGUACGCUUUUAAAUUUUUUUUAGUCUAAAGAAAUAUUGCUGCUUCUCAGAGUUUUGGCAAAUAUUGCUUUUCAUUUGUUCUUCUUUUCCUGUGUCUUCUUUCUUUUCACUCUCUUACCACCUAUAGAUUUAAAUUACAUGUCAUUUUAUUAUUAUUUACUGUAUUAACUAAACUCACUUUUUAUUUAGUUCAAAAAGAUGGAUGUGUGGAGUAUUUUAAAUUUGGCUCUUAAAACCACAGUGUAUUACAGAUCAGAAAGCUAUUAUUUUUUCUGACAUCCAGCAGGCACCAUUUCUGUGUUUUAGCUAUCUGACAGCUUGGGGACAGAUAAUGGGCCUUUGUUACAAACUGGGCCAGAGUAUUCUUUCUGGAGACUUUUCAAACUAGAGCUAGAAGAGAGGUGCCCCCUGUAUUAGUCAGCUACUGCUGCAUAACAAAUAACCAUAAAAUCAGAGUCACUUAAAACAGUGAGCACUUAUUUACUUCACAUCUCUUCAGGUCUGAUGAGUGGGCUCCACUGAUCUCAGCAGGCCUGCUCAUGUGUCUUUAGGCUGGCAGUGGGUGGUUUGAUUUAAGGAUGUCUCUAGUCCACACUGCAUGUUUGCACAUCUGUUGCCUAUGUCUUUGCUAUGGUUUGGAUAUUUGAGCCCUCCAAGUAUCAUGUUGAAAUUUGAUCCUCAAUGUUGGAGGCAGGGCCUGGUGGGAGGUGUUUGGGUCCUGAGGGAGGAUCCCUCAUAAAUGGCUUGGUGCAUUCUUGUGGGGAUGAGUGAGUUCUCAUGAGAGCUGGGUUUUGAAAAGAGCGUGGCACCUCCUCCUCUUUCUGUCUCUUGCUUCCUCUUUCACCACGUGGCUCCCUUUCACCUUCCACCAUGAGUGGAAGCAGCCCGAAGCCCUCACCAAAAUCAGAUAGAUACCAGUGCUGUGCCUGUACAACUUGCAGAACUGUGACCCAAAUAAACUUUUUUUCUGUAUGAACUGCCCAGCUGCAGGCAUUUUUUUUUUUUUUUUUUUGUAGCAACGUCAAAACAGUUUAAGUCAGUCUUUAACCUUUUAGCAGACUAGUUGGGGAAUAUUCCAUAAGAGAGCAAGUGAGAACCUGCAAGGUCACAUAGACCUAGGCUGUGAAGGGUCUUGUUAUGACUUAUACUCUUAUGCCAUUAGCCAAAGUAAGUCAAACGAACAAGCACAAACUCAAGGCACAGGCAUACACCACCCGCUAGGAGGCCUUGCCAAGGGUGUGGAUACAUGGAAGGGUGAAGAACUGGACUAGUCUUUCAAUACCACAGCCCCUUUCUUCUCUAGGCGUGGAGCUGCUAGGAGUGAGCCCCACAUGCAGACAUCUGUCUCUGGUAGGAGAAGACAAAGUCAAGAUCCAGAGAGAUGCAGUGGAAGACAGGAUGGGAGAAGGUCCCAAUCAUUUUCUAGUUAUUAAUAACAUUUUUGGCUGUGCUUAGAUUGCUGCACUUGGGAGGUUUGGUUAAUCAACUUUUUGUUUUGCUUUGUUUUGUUUUUGUUUUACUAGGAGGUAGGCUACUCCACAAUCCCUCCAAACUCUUCUUUCUUGCAUUAAUUGGUUUAAACUGCAUUUCUGGUACUUGCAACCAAAGGAUCAUGACCCAUCUAUACUGUUUUUUCUAGAUCAUAUGGUUUUUAUAUCAAAAGUUGCUGUCCCUAUCCCAAUGCAAAGCUUUUUAGGUUGAUUUUUAGGGGGAUAAAAUCUUUCAUAUUGAAAAUAAACAUUAUCACCUAUAUAUCACAGGUUAUUAGUUUAUUAAAUUAAACUGAACCACAUAAGUUUCAAAUAAAAGUGUUACUGAAUUUGCAGUAAAAAUUACACAUAAUUAGUGUAAAUUAGGAAAGAUAUAAAACAGUUGGCACAAAGCAAUAGCAUCCAUACUUUUAACCCAUUAAUUUUAUCCCUAGGAAUUUACCUCAAUAAAAUAAUAUAACAAAAGCAAAUGUUCAUAUACAUUACACAAUUUAUGACAACUGUCAUAAUAAUAAAUUAAAGGGACAUGUCUAAAUUAAGAGAAUGUGUUAACAAAUUAUGUUAGUUUAUCAGGAUGGAAUAUUAUGUAGUCUUUAUGUUAAUUAAGAAAAUUCUAUAAAAUUUCAAAAUCCAUUUAUGACGUAGUACGUGAAAAAGCAAAACAAAAUGCAAAAUUACAGGGACAUCCAGACUAGGUAUAUAAUUUUAUUUUUGUGCGCAGCACAACCAUUUUCUUUUUGUGCGCAGUAGAAAAAAAACAUUUCAAAUCUACCUGUAAUUUUCUCUUGUUCCGCUAGGAGACAUGCAUCAUCUUUGAUUAAAAUUAUUCUUCACUGGGACCUUUAUUUAUGCAAAGGCAAAAUUCUAUUCUAGACUCAAGAAGCUCGAGCUAGACAUCCUAAACAUUUCUGAAUAGAAUUAUCAAAGGCUGAAUUUGUCAUGUGCAGAAUUGCAUCUUUGUAGGGUUAUGAUGCUGUUGCCUGUGGGUGAGGAUGUGGUGGAUAACGCCCUUCUUGCAGUGAGGAUAAGGGGGGUUGGAGAAGGUACCCAGGGGACUGGUGGCUCAUGGUAAUUGAUGGACUAGGGGAGGCCAUGUAGAGAGGACGCCAGUGGAGAGGCAUGGCUGAUGGACAGAACUCCAGGAGCGGUGAUAGUUCAUAUCCAGUACAGUAUUUUUCUUUUUCUCCAUUAUAAUUUUCCUCGUUAUUCUCAAGCCAACAGGAAAUUGUCUUAAAUGUUUAUCCAGAUAUUUGCUGUACUUUUGGAAAUUAAGGGAGGAGCCUGUAACUCUCCUUGCAUAAAACAAGAGCCUGACUUGUGUGAAAAAGUGAUAAGAAGAUAUUCAGUAGAGAUCUGAGGGGAAGUCUCAGAGCAGAGGUCCGGAAUAAGUUAAGUGUGGACUGCAUAAGAAUUCCAUCCGUAUGGUAGACUGUAUUUCUGUUUGCCAAAUAUUUUACUUUUCCUCCAUCUUUUGCCAUGGAAGGAGUUUACUCUUCAACUCUGCCAGACUCAAGAGAGGCCAUUCGCUUUGCUGUGGCCGAUGAAAUGGGAGCAGCAAAAACAUGUAUCAUUUCUGGGAACCAGUGCACUGUUCUCCGUGUCUCCCUUCUCUCACCCUGGGCCUGAUAAUAUUCCAGCUGGUUGCUGCUCCAUCAUCCUGGAACCUACAAGUUUGGGGAGGGCGUCAAAGCCAGAGGCAACUUUCAUUCAUCAUGUUAUGUGAGUGUGAUGGUUAAUUUUAUGUGUCAACUUGACUGGAUCAUGGAGUGGCCAGAUAUUUCACUAAGCUUUUUUGGGUUUCUGUGAUGAUGUUUCCAGAUGAGAUUUGCAUUUGAGUCAGUGGACUCCGUAAGAUAGAUUGCCCUUCCCUGAAUGGAAGUGUAUUAGCCAAUUUGCUGAGACCCUGAACAGAACAAAAGGUGGAGAAAGGAGAAUUCAGCUCCUCUGCCUGACUGAUUGAGCUGGGAUAUCAGUCUCCUUCUGCCCUCAAACUGAAACUUAAACCAUCAGCUCCACUGGUUCUCAGGCCUUGGGUCCGAAACCAAACUACACUACCAGCUUUCCUGGGUCUGCAGCUUGCAGAUGGCAGAGCAUGGGACUUCUUAGCCUUCAUAAUCAAGCGAGCUAAUUCCUCAUAAUUAGUCCAUCUGUGUUAGUCCAUUCUCACACUGCUAUGGAGAAAUACCCGAGACUAGGUAAUUUGUAAAGAAAAGCAGUUUAAUUGACUCACAGUUGUGUAUUGCUGGGGAGGCCACAGGAAACUUACAAUCAUGGCGGAAGGUAAAGGAGAAGCAGGCACCUUCUUCACAAGGGUGGCAGGAUAGAGUGAGUGCAAGCUGGGGAAAUGCCAGAUGCUUAUAAAACCAUGAGAUAUCAUGAGAACUCACUAUCACAAGAACAGCUUGGGGGAACCGCACCCAUGAUCCAAUUACCUCCACCUGGUCCUGACCUUGACACAUGGGGAUUAUGGGGAUUAUAGUUCCUGGUGGGAUUUGGGUGGGGACACAGAGCCAAACCAUAUCACUAUCUCUCCCCCUCAUCCCCUCUCUCUCUAUUAAAUCCCUUAUUGGUUCUGUUUCUCUGGAAAACCCUAAAUACAGUGGGAAAGAAGUAAACCUUUGUGGUUGUAAGCUACUGAGACUUUGUUACUGUAGCAUGAUCUGGCCUAUUCUAAUUUAUACAGUGGGAUUUUUUUUCCCCCACAAACACUAAGGAAGUAGCAUGUGGAAGGCCACACCUUCUGUUGCCAUCAGUAGGGGGGGUUUCUGUAGGCUGAGGACCUAUGAGCCUUUUGGGUUACCUUUGACUUGCACUUGGGCUUUUAUGUUGAUGCCAAGCAGUAUGUUUAUACUCCUCUAAAAUGUAUUUUUCUGUAUAUAAAUAGUGUUUUUGUUAACUCUCACCAGCUCCAGUCUCAACUUUUGCCUCUAAUUUUUCCCAUAAUAUUCACUAACUCUAGUGAUAGCUGUCUAUGUGCAUAGUACUGAGACUAAUUCAGAGAGUGGGUUGGAUGAACUUUGGUUUGAUUUGUACGUAAUUGUUAAAAACUGUGUUUAAGAAAACAGUUGUACCCUUGGCAAAACCUGGAAGUCUCUAUGUUAACAAUUUUCCCAAUUUUUAUUUUAGGAAGCCAUUCUGCGUAUUAUGUUUUUAAAUAAAAGGAUUUGACUUUGGGCUGACAAUUUAGCAUUUAACCACUGUCUCUGCACCAGUUCCACAAGAGCAGGGAUUUAGAUUAAUUAGAAAAACCUCAUUGGUUUCUGAUGGAGGGGGCAUUCAUAGAAACAACCUACUGACAACUAAGGAACUACUGCGAUGGGAUGGGCAGCCUGCAGCUUCACUCGGUGGGCAGCCUCCACAGGUACUUUAAUUCCUCGCUCUUCUGGCCAGGCAUCUCUUGGUAAAGGCAGGUAGAGGAAGCAAAGCAAUUACCUAGAUAAUUAAGGAAAAACAAACCUGUAUGUGGCAGGUAACUUGGGGAGCUGCUUCUGAUUUUCUAGGCAACUGUUUUCAUUCUUCACUUCUCUGGUGUCAGUAGGAAUCUGAGCUAGAUCCCAAGAGCAACUCGAACAAUUACAAUGCUCUCAGUUGGCAAACCCGGCUUCAUAGCAACUUCCCUCCUCAUUGAUCUAGAGUUUGAAAUAGCUUUGUCAGAUCUCAGGGGUGUGUUCCUGCUGAUUUAUGGCAAAAUCCCAAUAACAGCUGUGAAAAUGUUUGUCCAUUUGUGAAACUUCAGAAAGCGGGUCUAGCAAAUCAUUCUCACCUGGUGAUUCUGGGGCAAGGUGAGAACUGUACCCUCACAGGCCGGGUGAAUAAGAUUCUAGUUGCGGUGGACGCCAAGGAAGAAGACGUACUAUGAGUCAGUCUCUCUAUGAGGCAUUUGCUGAACCUUCCCCUCCUACACCUUCCUACAAGGCAGGUCCGAUGACUUUUACUUUACAGAUGAGAAGAUGGAGCCUCCACAAGGCACAUAGCUGGUGAGUGACAAAACCAGAAUUCAAACCCAGAUCCAUUUGAUAGUGACAUUUGUUUCCACUACCCUAGUGGCUCUGGGGGAAGCCAGGACACCUAUAUUUUUGUAAAGUCCCAUAGUUGUUUCUAGUGUCAUCCGGGUUGGAAACUGUAUGUUAAGUCAGUGGUUCUCAAACUUUAGCAUGCAUUAGUAUCCCCUGUUAGGCUUGUAAAAACACAGAUUGCAGGCCCCACACUUAGAUUUCUGACUUGGUAGGUAGGUCUGAGUUGGGAACCAGGAAUUUGCCUUUCUAACAAGUUCCCAAGUGAUGUUGAUGCGGGGGCCUGGGCACUGCACUAUGGGAACCACCACCGCAUUAAGGUGAACUCAGAGCUGAAUCUGACAUGAAAAUCUGCAUUAAUGGAGAUGACAUCAGAUAUCUGCAAAGUCACUUAAUAGAGAACAGUUGAGACUAAGUCUUGACUAAUAUUAAAACUAACACAUCUAAAAAGACUAUGUCCAUUACAGGUGGGUGGUCAGAAUAGAAACAUUACAUAAUGGGAAAGAAAAUGUAGCUGAUUCUAUUCAUCUAGAAGGAAGAAGUGAUGUAAGGGUCAGUUUCCGCCUUUGCUUUGAAUUCCUUGGACAGCAAGCAACCAUAUGAGCAUUAAUUUGAUUUAUUUUUUUCAGGUAUCGUAUCUGAUUUCAGAUACAUAUGAUGGUCUCAAGUGUGUUUUUUACCACCACCACUUUGUAGGCCUGUUGAUGCCACUGCUGUUGAAGUCUAUGUGAAUGGUGCCCCCUGGUGGAAGGAAGAAGAGAAUUCCCCAAAUACUCCGUUUCUGGGUGUCUCCAUUGGUUGGUGUAUUUUGAAGAAAUGGACAUCAAAGGUGUUGAAUGAAUACUUUUUGGCAAAUUGAUUAAAUGCAAAGCGAUUUUAUAUUAGACUCAAUUUGGAAGAUGAGUGUGCUGAAACAGUAAGUUACUUAACGCUUAUUUUGUAUUAUUUGAUUUACUCCUCCCUACUCUUUUCUAGAGUUAAUUCACGUUGACUGUAUAUCUUUUGAUUUAUUAAUUGUUCCCCUGCCUCUUGUGUAAAAUGAGAAUACCUUAUAUUCACCUGCUCUUAGGUUUUUAUGGAUUGAAAGGAGUUGGAGGGCUGGUUAUAACUUGGAGUGCUAGGCCCUGCCCCUAGAGUUUCUGAUUCUGUGGGCCUGGAAUGGGGCCCAAGAAUUUAUUGCAUGUAUAAUAAGUCCUCAGGGGAUGCUGAUGCUGUCAGUCUCAGCACCACACUUUCAGAUCCACUGCUAUUGUGCCAUCUACAAGUUAAUAUGAACUCCACAGCACACUUGUAUGUGUGUGCCUCUGUGUGUGUGUGUGUGUGUGUGUGUGUGUGUGUGUGUGUAGGCAGUGUUGGUGGUGGUAGGAAUAGGGGUAUGGUUUGACCAGGUAGGACCUGGACAUAGAAAAGGUUGCAGGUAUAGAUCAUUGUGAGAAGGCCACGGAGGUCCUGGAAGGAUCCCAGGUCCCAAAGGCAUAAGGAUGAAGGGAAGAGAGAAAGAAAAACCGACAUGUUCCUGACAGCUGGAUGCUUCUCCCAUUUAGAUUUCUCUGAACUGAAAUUCUAGAUGGUUUAAUUACUCCAUAAGGCUUGCUAAAUUGCCCCGUCUCAGCCUCACAUACAAUGCUGGUAUCUACAUUCUAUGCUCUCAGACUAUGUAUUAAAACUGUGCACUGGUGGAGUAAGCUAGUUAAAUAUUUGUACAUUUGACUGCACACAGCUACUGCUUAUGUUUUCUUGUUCUUCUGCUCUAUCUUAAGGAAUCUGUAUGAGUCAGCCAGUUAAAAUGCUGGCUGGGAGGUAAUUAGCUGGGAAUUUUAACCCCAUCAUAGUCAUUCACCUGCUUGAAGAAUGAAGUGGAUGGGUACUUUAGUGAGUCUAGCAACCUGUUUCUUUCUCUGCCAAAUGCAAGAAGUUCUUCGUGAGUUGCUGGAUGGCUCAAAUUAUCAUAUUCUGGAGCUUAUCCUGGAAACAGGAAAAUGUCAGUCCAAUAGAACAUCAGCGCACAUUGAUAUAUAAAAUUGCAGGUGAUGAAAGGCUCUGAAAGAACUCUAUGAGUCUCCGGUCUUAACGCUGUCUUAGAUUUUGAUGGUACAUUGUCUUUUUCAUUUCAACUCUGUUUUAAAUUUUUUAUUAUGUAAAUUUUUAGACAUACCCAGAAUUAGAGAGAAUAGCAUAAUAAAACUUGAUGGUACCAUUAAUUCAGUCUCAAUAAUUGUCAAUAUUUUGUCAAUUGUGUUUUAGUCAGUCCCCACUCUUGGUUUCCUUGUGGCCUGAUCUCUAUCUGGCAGCUAUUAACUCCAAUUUGUUUCUUACCACCAUUUCUCAGCUCGUCUCCACGUAUGUAGACCUUCAUCCAAGUGGAAUUGUGUGAAGCCUCCCCUGGCUGUGGGAACUACGUUUCCAUAGAAGUAGCCUCCCUAUUCUGGAUCUGAAUUAUACCAAGAGUUCAGUGGCACAUUAAAUGAUAAUUGAUUUGGAAAUGAGAGGCACAUAUACAAAGACAAUGACCAGAGCAUAUAUAAAAAUAGAACAGCUUACACCUGCCCGCCCAGAAAACCAACCCCUUGUUUCCAACAAACAGCCCAGGAAACCAGCCUGCUUUAAGUCAGAGUUGGAGGGGGUCAGAUGCUAUCACUGGCAACAGUCUAGGAAGUUAACAAUCACUUCUGGAACAAUUGGUCUAAAAUGGCCAGGACUUCACUAAUUUUAUUGGUAAAUACUUUAAUAUGAAUCUCUAGCAGAUAAGGGCUUUAAGACAAUAUAACCACAAUAGUAUCACCAUACUUAACAAAAUUAUUAUUUUAAAUAUCAUCAGUCCAUGUUCAAAUUGCCUUGUCUCAAUUUUUUUUUUUUUUUUUUUUUUUUUGAGAUGGAGUCUCGCUCUGUUGCCCGGGCUGGAGUGCAGUGGCGCAAUCUCGGCUCACUGCAAGCUCCGCCUCCUGGGUUCAUGCCAUUCUCCUGCCUCAGCCUCCCAAGUAGCUGGGACUACAGGCGCCCACCACCACACCCGGCUAAUUUUUUUGUAUUUUUAGUAGAGAUGGGGUUUCACCGUGUUAGCCAGGAUGGUCUCGAUCUCCUGACCUCGUGAUCCACUUGCCUUGGCCUCCCAAAGAGCUGGGAUUACAGGCGUGAGCCACCGUGCCCGGCCUCAAAAAAUUUUUGAAUAGUACAUUUGUUCAUAUCAGGAGCUGUAUGAGUUCCUUUGUUGAUUUUGGUUGAUAUAUCUCUUAAUCCUCUAUUAUUAUUUAACACUUUCUCUUCCCCCUUUUUUUCAAGCCAUUUAUUUGUUGAAAAUAUGUCAUUUUUCCAGUUGAAUUUCCCACAUCCUGGUCUUAUGUGAUUGUAUCCUGUGGUAUUGUUUAUAUACUUUCUAUAUACCCCAUAUUUCUUGUUAACUGGCAGUUAAGUCAAGAAACACAAUUAAAUUUAGGUUUAUUUUUUUCAGGGGGCAAAAAUAUUUUAUGGGCAAUGUUUAAAUCAACAGGCACCCAAUGUCUACUUGUCCCACUUUUCAUGAUGCUAAAGUUGAUGGGUUCAGAUGUCAUCAUUCACCCAUUAUCAAUUUUCCUAUCAACUACCAUUUAUGAUUCUUGCCAAAAUCCAUUGUCUUGGCAGGGGUUGCAAGAUGACAUUUUUCGAAUUAUUUUUCUAAUAAUCAUUCUUUUUAAAUUAGAAUUCUUCUGUGGAGAAGAACUUUCCCUCACAUCUGUUUGGUUAACCUGAAGCACAGUUCAUAAAUGAGAGGCAAGGUAAAUGCUGUAUUCUGUACCUUUAUUUAUCCAAUUUCAGAGUAAUGAGUCCAGCAACAGCCAAAAAUGAUUAGUGUGGUUUUCAUUUUUCAAAAUAUCAUUAUGAACUUACACAUUUAAUAUAUAUAUUUCUGUCAUAUAUUAAUAUACUAAAAGAUUUGAUAUGUUGUAUAUAUCUAAAAUAUUUAACAUAUUUCAAUCAAUGAGUUUCAGUUGACAAUCCAUUGUAAUGAAUGCUAAAUUUGUCUCCCUGUUGUUUAAUAGGAUUGCUCUUAAACUCAGUGUAAAACUGCUUGCCUACUAUCCUGUUUAUUUUUGAAAUACAACUGUACUUAGUAUUAAAAUAUUCCUAUUAUAGAAAAUUUAGAGAAUAAAGCCCCACAUAAAGAGGAAAAUGAAAAUUACCUGUAUUCUUCCCACUCAAAAAGAUUCCCCUUUAUAAAUGUCAAAUUUCCCUCUAUUUUCUUGCUCUUUUAUAUAUCAUCAAAUACUCUUCAACCUGUCAUUGUAGUCACUCUGUCAGAAGUGCUUUCAACUACCCCUCAUCUUAGCCUCAUUGCACAUGUCUAGCCAAACCUCAACCCUCUUCACCUCUGCACCUGUGUCUGUUACUGGAGACUAUUAACUGAACCAUUUCCUUCAUUUGAUGAUCUAAAGCCUCCACAGGCAUGCAUUGUGACCCAGAAACCUUCUUGUGUUUCCCAGAACUAUUCAUAUAUUCUCCUCAAACCCUCCCCCAACCCUUCCCUCUUUAGUCCUCACUGGGCUAUUGACCUUGUUCCACACUUCAGUGAAGUAAAAACCUUCACAUGAUGACUCUAGCAUUCCCGAUGAAAACUUAACAAAAACUCAUCUGCAGCUAAUGCUCCCUUCUUUCCUCCUGGCACAAUGGAGGGCAUUUUCUUUCUCCUAGCAAAGUCCAGUCCCUCCCCUUCUCUGUAUCCAGUGCUCUUUGACCUUUUAAAACACUUCACUCUGGUUAUCUUCUCUCCUUUAUCAACUUGCCCUUAUCAUCUACUGGAUCAUUUCUGUAACCAUAUUCUAAUUUACCAACCCUAUCAUAAAAACAACACCAACAACAAACAGUCACUGCCUUGGUUCCCUGUCUCCCAUCCAUUUCUGUAUUAUUCUGCAUUGCCAGACUUCUCAAGAGUUGUUAACUAUGUGAUUUCCACUUUUUUAACUCUUUUUUUUUUUAAUUCCAGUCUGGUUCCUCUCCAGCCCCGUCACUGUACUAAAAUUUCUUGCCUCAGGGUCACUGGAAAUCCACAUAGCCACAUGCAAUGUACACUUCUCUGUCUUCAUCUUACCCUUUCAGCAGCAUUGGGUGGAGUGGGCCAUUUGUUUCUCAAAAUACUCUUCUCUUGGUUAUCAUCAGGCCAUUGGUUCUCUGCUUUCCAAACUCACUGGUUUCUCCCAACUCCUAUUUCUCCUUUUAAGUGUUGACAGUAUUGGGUCCUCUUCUCUUCUCCUGUUAUCAUUUUUCACUGGGUGGUUCCAUUAAUUCGCAGCUUUAAAAAUCUCAUUAUGACUCAAGACUCCAAAGUUUGUGUCUUCAACCCAUUUUUUCUGAGCACCAUAUCCAGCUCUGCUUACUUGACAGUUCAACCUGGAUGUCUUAUAAACAUCUCAAAUUAAACAUGUCCAAGAUAGAACUUCUCAUUUCCCCUGCAUGAAUCAAUUCCUCCUCUAUCUGUCCUAUGCCAAUAAAUGGCAGCAUUAUCCGUCGGUUGCCCAAUUCAGAAAUCUGAGUCAGUCCCGAUUUUCCCUUUCCCAUAACCCCUAUAUAGCAGGUGCAGCAACUCCAUUUGAUUGUUCCCCUUAAAAUAUCUUGACUGUCAACUUUUCUCUGUCUCCAUGGUGAACACCCUGGCCAUGGCUCAUCCUUCACCUGCACUAUGUCAGCACCUCGUUGAUGGGUCUCUCAAUUCAUACUUGUUCCUCUACAAUCCAUUUUCCACAUUAUGAGCAAGAACAUAUAUUAAACCUUACAUUAAAACCUUCAGCGGCUUUCAUUACAUGUGUAAUAAAUCCAAACUCUGCACAAGGGCUGGAUGGCUCUACAGAUCCUGUCUCCUGAUAUCUCUCCAGCCUCAGGUUAAGCUACUCCCUACACCAGAGUCAGUCUUAUUCAAACACACUUAAAUCUUCCUGCCUCAGGCUGUUUGU